GCCUCCUUGGCUCAGUGGUAAAGCGUCGCACUUGUACGGGCUGUCUUCUGUCUAGAGAACGGCAUUCUGAAAUGCGAAGAUCAGCGGUUCAAUUCCGCUAGGAGGCA